rnacentral:rRNA from 1 species
AUGCAGCAAAGGAUGUACAUCCAGUUGAUAGGACUGGGUGGACUUCCCAAGACACCUAGCAUCAAAAUUAGAUGUGUACUCUGCCUAGCCAUCGCUAAUUCAUAUGAUGCAGAGCAGGAUGCCUUUAUCAUCAAUGGGAGACCAUGUAGGAUCACACUAGAAGAUGUAGCGCAUAUAACAGGCAUGCCCUGCCAUGGGAAGAAGCACGUCCCUCAAAUCUUGAUGAUAAUAUGGAGUUGUGGAAGAAAUUGA